UACAGAGGGUGCGAGCGUUGUCCGGAAUCAUUGGGCGUAAAGCGCGUGUAGGCGGCCGGUAAGUCCGCUGUGAAAGUCGGGGGCUCAACCCUCGAAUGCCGGUGGAUACUGUCGGGCUAGAGUGCGGAAGAGGCGAGUGGAAGUUCCUGGUGUAGCGGUGAAAUGACGCAGAUAUCAGGAGGAACACCAAUUGCGAAGGCAGCUCGCUGGGACGUAACUGACGCUGAGACGCGAAAGCGUGGGGAGCAAACAGG
rnacentral:rRNA from 1 species